AUAAAAGCAACAUCACGAUUAAGAGGAAUCGUGAAACACACAAAACAAAUAGUGACCUGGCAACUCCUCCAUUUUAACCGACCUGCCCUAUAAAUACUUCGAGGACGAGCUUAGGCGAGUCAGUGAAGGAAUAAGAAGGAAGGUGUACGCACGAUGAACAAGCAGAUUUUCCUACUCUUUUUGGUAUUGUCGUCCGCUCUGCUGGUGCACGAGGCGCGAGCGGGGCCCCUGCCGAAGGAAUGCGAGCCUCCCACCCUCGAUUGCCCGUCGGCGAGGCGCGCGAGGGCAGCAGCAAAAUUCUGUGUCUGUAUUAUAUCGCCUUGUCCCUGUGACCGAUUUGGCGGAUAAACAUAUUUGGAUCAACGUCUGUUAAAAGGACUUCGGUUACCAAUAAAUGCUCUCUCAAUGUUG